rnacentral:tRNA from 1 species
UUCGGAAUAGCUCAGUUGGUAGAGCAGCGCACUGUUAAUGCGUGGGUCCCUGGUUCGAGUCCAGGUUCCGGAGCCA